UCGUACUGAAGUAUAAUGUGAGGAGUUUGAAAGAAAUCAGCGCCAUCUACUUCCUCUCAAAAGACGUUACCAAUAUUUAGAUAAACAUGUGUUUUAGAAAGGAUUGUGAGAAAUGCGGAAAACCUACCUGGGCCGGCUGUGGGAAUCACAUUGAGAAAGCCUUGGAAGGUGUCCCUCCUGAUCAGAGAUGUCAGUGUCCCAGAGAAAAGAAAUGACAACAAUGAACGCUGUACGUUUGCUUCAGGACCUCUGUGCCAUCACAUGACAACUGAUGCUCCUAAUACAUUAAAAAACUGAAAAUAACCUGACAUGCAGUAUACUGAUGUAACAGUUACACACAUAAUGACAGCAUGGCACAUGUUGGCUAUGUCAUGUAUCUUCAGAAAUCAGAUACAUGUGCACUGUUGCAUGUGUCAUCAAAGGAUAAUCACUUAGCUAAACAGUAACCACACUGAUAUGAUAAAAAAAACACACUCCAUGAUCAUUAUUUAUUUGCCAUUAAAAGCCAAUUAUUUCUAAAGUCAUAUGUUGUGAUGCAUUGUUCAGAGUUUAAAGUUUUUGUUUUUGGUUCAUUGAAGGUGCAUGAUUAUCACACGUUGUAUUCAUAUAAAGACUUACUUGUACAUUAACCAGUGUAUUAUGAUUUUGAUAUCUCCAUUCUAAUAUGAUAAUUACCCUGGACUCACACUGGACUCCUCUCAAAGGAGAUCAGAGGAAAUUGGUCCAGUGAAUUUAUCGUAAAUAAUACAAUAGAAAUAUAAUACAUUGGAUAUUUGAGGAUGUCUACCAUUGACAAUCGAAAUGUUUGUUUCUCAGUUUAUUGUUUUGAAUUAAACCAUUAUGUAUAAA